GCUUAACACAUGCAAGUCGAACGAGACGAUUUAGAAGCUUGCUUUAUUGAGUCGAGUGGCAAACGGGUGAGUAACGCGUAGACAACCUUGCCGCAAAGAUGGGGACAACAGUCCGAAAGGACUGCUAAUACCGAAUGUUGUAUCUCCUCGCAUGGAAAGAGAUAUUUAAAGAUGGCCUCUACUUGUAAGCUAUCGCUUUGCGAUGGGUCUGCGUCUGAUUAGCUAGUUGGUGGGGCAACGGCCUACCAAGGCGACGAUCAGUAGCCGGUCUGAGAGGAUGAACGGCCACAUUGGAACUGAGACACGGUCCAGACUCCUACGGGAGGCAGCAGUGGGGAAUCUUCCGCAAUGGGCGAAAGCCUGACGGAGCAACGCCGCGUGAGUGAAGAAGGUCUUCGGAUCGUAAAGCUCUGUUGUCGGGGACGAAUAUUGAGACCUAGAACAUAGGUUUCAAAUGACGGUACCUGACGAGGAAGCCACGGCUAACUACGUG
rnacentral:rRNA from 1 species